rnacentral:rRNA from 1 species
AUUAAUGAGGGGAGGAAAAGAAACUAACCAGGAUUUUCUUAGUAGCGGCGAGCGAAAAGAAAAUAGUUCAGCACUAAGUCACUUUGUCUUUAAUGGCAAAUGUGAGAUGCAGUGUAUGGAAUGUUCAAUUCUAGUAUGAGAAAUUAGCGAUUUAAGUCCUUCUUAAAUGAGGCCAUUUACCCAAAGAGGGUGCUAGGCCCGUAUAACGUUAAUGAUUACUAGAGAACAAUUCCAAAGAGUCGUGUUGCUUGAUAGUGCAGCACUAAGUGGGUGGUAAACUCCAUCUAAAACUAAAUAUAACCAUGAGACCGAUAGUAAACAAGUACCGUGAGGGAAAGUUGAAAAGAACUCUGAAUAGAGAGUUAAAUAGUACGUGAAACUGCUUAGAGGUUAAGCCCGAUGAACCCGAAUAUCCAUUAUGGAAAAUUCAUCAUUAUGAAUUAUGAUAUUUAAUAAAUAUUAUAUUAAUGGUGUGCAUUUUUUCCAUAUAAGGACAUUGUAAUCUAUUAAUAUUAAAAUUUAUCAUAAAGUCAUUGGCUUUAAAGUUUAUUCAAAUUAUUAUGCUUGCAUUUUAACAUAGAAUAAAUGCUUUUGAUUUGAUAGAUUGUUGAUAGAUUUAUAUUUAUAUAGUGCUUAAAUAUAUUUAUAUAUUUUAUAAUAGCAUAUAAAUCAAUAAUUUUUAUGUUUAUUAUAUGCACUUAUAUGAUUUACAAUGCGAAAGAUUCGGGAUACCUUCGGGACCCGUCUUGAACACGGACCAAGGAGUCUAACAUAUUUGCAAGUUAUUGGGUUCUUUAAAAACCUAAUAGCGAAAUUAACAUGACAAAAUUAAUAUGGGAUUAGUUAUUAGUUCUAUGGAAUACCUAGACUAUUAAUUCAAUCCCGGGGCGUUCUAUACAGUUAUGUAUAAUAAUAUUUAUAUUAUUUAUACCUCUAACUAGAACGUACCUUGAGCAUAUAUGCUGUAACCCGAAAGAUGGUGAACUAUACUUGAUCAGGUUGAAGUCAGGGGAAACCCUGAUGGAAGACCGAAACAGUUCUGACGUGCAAAUCGAUUGUCAGAAUUGAGUAUAGGGGCGAAAGACCAAUCGAACCAUCUAGUAGCUGGUUCCCUCCGAAGUUUCCCUCAGGAUAGCUGGUGCAUUUAAAAUUUAUGUAAAAUAAUCUUAUCUGGUAAAGCGAAUGAUUAGAGGCCUUAGGGUCGAAACGAUCUUAACCUAUUCUCAAACUUUAAAUGGGUAAGAACCUCACCUUUCUUGGUAUGAAGGUUGUGGUUGUGAUAUAAUGUGCCCAGUGGGCCACUUUUGGUAAGCAGAACUGGCGCUGUGGGAUGAACCAAACGUAAUGUUACGGUGCCCAAAUUAACAACUCAUGCAGAUACCAUGAAAGGCGUUGGUUGCUUAAAACAGCAGGACGGUGGACAUGGAAGUCGCAAUCCGCUAAGGAGUGUGUAACAACUCACCUGCCGAAGCAACUAGCCCUUAAAAUGGAUGGCGCUUAAGUUGUAUACCUAUACAUUACCGCUAAAGUAAAUGGUUGAAAUUCAAUUUAUUUGGAUUUGUAAACUUUAAAACUUUAGUGAGUAGGAGGGUACAAUGGUGAGCGUAGAAGUGUUUGGCGUAAGCCUGCAUGGAGCCGCCAUUGGUACAGAUCUUGGUGGUAGUAGCAAAUAAUCGAAUGAGACCUUGGAGGACUGAAGUGGAGAAGGGUUUCGUGUGAACAGUGGUUGAUCACGAGUUAGUCGGUCCUAAGUUCAAGGCGAAAGCUGAAAAUUUUCAAGUUAUAUAUAUAUAAAUAAUGUAUAAAACACUUGAAAAUAAUUGAACGAAAGGGAAUACGGUUCCAAUUCCGUAACCUGUUGAGUAUCCGUUUGUUUAUUAAAUGUGGGCCUUGUGCUCAUCCUGGCAACAGGAACGACCAUAAAGAAGCCGUCGAGAGAUAUCGGAAGAGUUUUCUUUUCUGUUUUAUAGUCGUACUACCAUGGAAGUCUUUCGAAGAGAGAUAUGGUAGAUGGGCUAGAAGAGCAUGACAUUUACUGUUGUGUCGAUAUUUUCUCCUCGGACCUUGAAAAUUUAUGGUGGGGUCACGCAAACUUCUCAACAGGCCGUACCAAUAUCCGCAGCUGGUCUCCAAGGUGAAGAGUCUCUAGUCGAUAGAAUAAUGUA